AUAAUGUAAAAUGUAUACGUUUCUAUACCGUGUCCGUCUAUUACCACCACGUUUUUGUUAUGUCUUUUUAAACGAUGUGAUGUCAAUUGAGAGUAGUGAUAUAACAACGAGUAUUUUAAAUGCUACAGUUUCGUUUCAACCACUUUUUGAAUUUUGUUAUACUAUGCCAAUUGUGGUAAAGCAAUCAUAUAUUGAUUAGUCGACGCAGGUGAACUAGUGAUGGAGUAUACGAAAGAAGCAGUAGGUGUUGCUAAUAAGCGAAAGUUAAAAGACAAUAAAAGUAGUGCUGAAGCAGAAGGUAUUAUUUUAGGUAAAGAGUCUCAAAAACUUGAUAAAAUUUCUGACUUGGAAAACGAGGAAAGUGUGAGACCCAAGAAGAUUAUUCGAAAUAGCGUCAGCACAAUUAGAAAAUGUAGUUACGAAAGUCCAAAGAAAGAAGAAACUAAACUGGCGUCUAAUGAUAAUAGACCUAGAUGUAAAUAUGGGAGAGAAUGCUACAGAAAGAAUCCACAACAUUUCAAAGAAUUUUCACAUUUUGGGGAAGAACCACUUAACAAAAAAUCUCGACUAGAUACCAAUGACAUGGAGAGUCCAAGUUCUAGUACGCAGAAUAAUCUGACUCCAAAAGUGAUGAAAGAAAGUCACCCAUCUUUUGGUUUUUAUUUAACCAAGGUCAAAGGGUUAGCUCCUGAGUACAAUCAACACAGUGCAUUGGAUUUAAAAGAUAUAUUUUCUCUAACAAAAGCCAAGUUAAAGGCAUCUGCUCAGUUUAACUAUAUGACAGAUAUUCCAUGGCUAAUGAAACAAUAUCCAGCAGAAUACAGAUCAUGUCCCCUGUUGAUUGUUCAUGGAGAGCAGAGAGGGAGCAAGAGUGCACUUGAAAAGGCAGCAUCAGUUUUUCCAAAUAUCACCUUGUGUAAUGCUAAACUUGAGAUUAUGUAUGGAACUCAUCAUACAAAGAUGAUGUUGCUGCUCUAUGACUCAGGAUUGAGAAUUGUAAUUCACACAGCCAACUUGAUUGAAAAUGACUGGUUUCAAAAAACACAGGGAAUUUGGAUAAGUCCACUUUUCCCUUCCCUUCUCGGUGAACAAUCUGCACAUAGAGGAAAUAGUGCCACUAACUUCAAAGGUGAUUUGCUAGAAUAUUUGUCUUUCUACAAUCGGCCAGAUAUUGAUGAGUGGUGUAAACAUAUUAAAGGACAUGAUUUAUCAAACUCAAGUGUCUUCCUCAUUGGGUCCAUACCUGGUCGACACCUAGCUGAACGUAAGACAUCUUUUGGCCACCUCAAGUUAAGAAAGGUUUUGAACUUACAUGGACCAGAAAAAUCUUUGGUAACUUCAUCUUGGCCACUUAUUGGUCAGUUUUCCAGUAUUGGAUCACUUGGAACUGAUCAAAAUCAAUGGUUAUGUGGAGAGUGGCUUGCCAGCCUUGGAACUGUUAAGGGUUGUAGUUUGACCUCCAAAACACCUUUGCAACUUGUUUUUCCAACUGUGAACAAUGUGCGAGAAAGUCUGGAAGGUUAUCCUGCUGGAACUUCCCUUCCAUAUAGCAUAAAUGUGGCUAAAAAACAGCCAUAUCUUAGAAAUUUUCUUUAUUCUUUGUUAUUAGCCAGUGGAAGAGUGACAGACUGUCUCGUAGCCAUGCUUCACCUCAUAUCAAGACUUACCUCAGAGUUUCACCAGACAACAGCUCUGUUGCUUGGUUCCUGCUUACUAGUGCCAACUUGUCCAAGGCUGCAUGGGGAGUAUUAGAAAAGAAUGGAAGUCAGUUUAUGAUCCGGUCAUAUGAACUUGGAGUUCUGUUUAUGCCACAAUAUUUGGUAUCUAGGAAAGUUUUUGGGGUUCCAGAGGUAAAAGAAAGAAAAGCUAACAUGGAAACUAUUUCAUUUCCUGUUCCAUAUGAUAUCCCUCUCAUCCCAUACUCUAACAAAGAUGAAAUCUGGAUCUGGGAUAUCCCUCACAUUAAAGCUCCUGAUCGCCAUGGAAACAAGUGGUGCCCACCUUUACCCAGGACAUAACACCAGUUCCUUGUCUUUCAAAUUAUGUAUUUGAGAAAGAAGUUUUUAAGUUUUUCAUUGUAAUAUGUUAAUGGAGUCUGAUAUAUUUGAAUGAAUAAAGAAAAUAAUUAAAGCUUUCAUUCAAUA
rnacentral:misc_RNA from 1 species